AUCACCUGGGAAUCUUGUUAAAAUAUACAUUCUGAUCCAGCAGUUAGGGUUAGGACCAAGAUUCUGCAUUUUCAACAAGCUCUCAGGUGAUGCCAA
rnacentral:pre_miRNA from 1 species